rnacentral:lncRNA from 1 species
GUUAUCAAGAAAUGAGAAGAUUGAUAGUGUUAUUAGUGUUCUUGUUUUGCUAAAUUUUGUAUAUUGUUAUCAAGAAAUGAGAAGAUUGAUAGUGUUAUUAGUGUUCUUGUUUUGCUAAAUUUUGUAUAUUGUUAUCAAGAAAUGAGAAGAUUGAUAGUGUUAUUUGUGUUCUUGUUUUGCUAAAUAUUGUAUAUUGUUAUCAAGAAAUGAGAAGAUUGAUAGUGUUAUUAGUGUUCUUGUUUUGCCAAAUUUUGUAUAUUGUUAUCAAGAAAUGAGAAGAUUGAUAGUGUUAUUAGUGUUCUUGUUUUGCUAAAUUCUGUAUAUUGUUAUCAAGAAAUGAGAGAAUUGAUAGUGUUAUUAGUGUUCUUGUUUUACAAAAUUCUGUAUAUUGUUAUCAAGAAAUGAGAGGAUUGAUAGUGUUUUUAGUGUUCUUGUUUUGGUAAAUUUUGUAUAUUGUUAUAAAGAAAUGAGAAGAUUGUUAGUGUUAUUAAUGUUCUUGUUUUGGUAAAUUUUGUAUAUUGUUACCAAGAAAUGAGAAGAUUGAUAAUGUUAUUACUAUUCUUGUUUUGCUAAAUUUUGUAUAUUGUUAUCAAGAAAUAAGAAGAUUGAUAGUGUUAUUAGUAUUCUUGUUUUGCUAAAUUUUGUAUAUUGUUAUCAAGAAAUGAGAAGAUUGGUAGUGUUAUUUCACAAGAACAAAACGAUUUAAAACAUAUAACAAUAGUUCUUUACAGAAGAUUGGUAGUGUUAUUAGUGUUCUUGUUUUGCUAAAUUUUGUAUAUUGUUAUCAAGAAAUGAGAAGAUUGAUAAUGUUAUUAGUGUUCUUGUUUUGCUAAAUUUUGUAUAUUGUUAUCAAGAAAUGAGAACAUUGAUAGUGUUAUUAGUGUUCUUGUUUUGCUAAAUUUUGUAUAUUGUUAUCAAGAAAUCAGAGGAUUGAUAGAGUUAUUAGUGUUCUUGUUUUGUUAAAUUUUGUAUAUUGUUAUCAAGAAAUCAGAAGAUUGAUAGUGUUAUUAGUGUUUUUGUUUUCCUAAAUUUUGUAUAUUGUUAUCAAGAAAUGAGUAGAUUGAUAGUGUUAUUAGUAUUCUUGUUUUGCUAAAUUUUAUAUAUUGUUAUCAAGAAAUGAGAGGAUUGAUAGUGUUAUUAGUGUUCUUGUUUUGCUAAAUUCUGUAUAUUGUUAUCAAAAAAUGAGAGGAUUGAUAGUGUUAUUAGUGUUCUUGUUUUGCAACUUUCUGUAUAUUGUUAUCAAGAAAUGAGAAGAUUGAUAGUGUUAUUAGUGUUCUUGUUUUGCUAAAUUUUGUAUAUUGUUAUCAAGAAAUGAGAAGAUUGAUAGUGUUAUUAGUGUUCUUGUUUUGCUA